UCUCAGUGAUGCAAUUCCAAUAGCAAUCUGUGGACUUAAUAGCAGGGAGGUGAAGAGAAAAGGGGAGGGA
rfam:Erinaceus europaeus unplaced genomic scaffold scaffold00037, whole genome shotgun sequence